GGUUUGAAACGAAAAACGAGAAUACCAUGGUAUUUCCGUAUUUUGGUUUUUCCGAAUUAACGGUAAAACAGAUGACUAAAACGUACACGGACCGUGGAGAUCUGCGGACGUCACUGCAUGACUGACGAGUCUGAAAGGUCUGGAGAGGCAGCCGCACUUGUGGCUUCCCACUCCGACGCCUGUGAGAUCUGUUGCCUGCACUGGAUGUUGAAAGGGAAACCUGCAUUGUGAUGUCAUCUGUCCCAGAAUGAAAUAUAAAACAAAACAAAAAGAAAAAACAUUGA